GACGAACCGUGCGAACGUUGUUCGGAUUCACUGGGCUUAAAGGGCGCGUAGGCGGGCCACCAAGUCAGUGGUGAAAUCCUGCGGCUCAACCGUAGAAGUGCCUUUGAUACUGGCGGCCUGGAGGGAGGUAGGGGCGUGCGGAACUUCCGGUGGAGCGGUGAAAUGCGUAGAUAUCAGGAGGAACACCAAUAGCGAAGGCAGCUCGCUGGGACGGUACUGACGCUAAGGCGCGAAAGCGUGGGGAGCGAACAGG
rnacentral:rRNA from 1 species